GAGAAAAAUUCACAAGCCUCAAAAGUGUUUAUUACAUCUGACCUAUGUGGGCAAAAUUCCUGUGCUUUUUAGUAGAGUCCCAGCUCCACUUACGCUGUGUAAAGUUUCAAGAGAGUAAUGAUAAAACCCAGCUCAUCUUUGAUUCAGUGACCAACAUACCAGCAAAGGAUGCAGCACCAGUGGAGAAAAUAGACACCAUGCUGGUCUUGGAAGGCAGUGGAAACCUGGUGCUAUACACAGGAGUGGUUCGGGU
rnacentral:lncRNA from 1 species